rnacentral:rRNA from 1 species
CAGUAGCCGCGGUAAUACGGAGGGUGCAAGCGUUAUCCGGAUUUAUUGGGUUUAAAGGGUCCGUAGGCGGAUCUGUAAGUCAGUGGUGAAAUCUCACAGCUUAACUGUGAAACUGCCAUUGAUACUGCAGGUCUUGAGUAAAUUUGAAGUGGCUGGAAUAAGUAGUGUAGCGGUGAAAUGCAUAGAUAUUACUUAGAACACCAAUUGCGAAGGCAGGUCACUAAGAUUUAACUGACGCUGAUGGACGAAAGCGUGGGGAGCGAACAGGAUUAGAGACCCCGGUAGUCCCUGUCUCUUAUAC